CGGCCACGAUAACCACCUGAUUUGAUUGACUCCAUAUACAAUUUAAUACGUCUUGUGCAUGUAACAAUUGCCGCAAAUACGGUCAAUAGCAUUUCUGGCAUUUGAUCAUCGAUUUGGGCCUAGGAGAAGGACAUGGAUUUCACGUGACGAACGAGAGACAGACAAUAAAGGCGGAGUUGCGCGUUCCGGCCUGGGUUACGAGGUGUUAUGUAGGCAUAGGCGGGCGCCAUGGUGCUGAGUGUUUGAGUCACUACGUCGCUCUGAAGUCAUUUAAUUCUGUUUGUGUCCCUCCAAAGGCAGCACGCAAAGGCCAGUUAACAACAUCAAUGGCAUAUCUUAACGGGCCAAGUUAAUUGACGUAAUGUGGACCGAGAAACUUUGAGCAAUUACUACUAACCUCGUUCCAACACUUGGAAUUCCCCCUUACUAGAACAGGAAUAUUAAUUCCGACUCUGGAUUGCGUAUUGUACAUCGUACGUUGAAGCUACUGCCGGGGUUAUCUGCACGCCUGGUCAAAUCUGCAUUGUACAUCCCCAAAAUCCGGCGAGAGUGAGAAAAAGAUAUAUCAUCUAUGAAUACAUUACAGUGUAUUCCUUUUCGCGGGAGCAAAAUUUCUUUAGCUUCUCUUCACUCAUUUUUUGUUUCUGUUGUCAGCCUCUCUCUCUCUCUCUCUCUCUCUCUCUCUCUCUCUCUC